rnacentral:misc_RNA from 1 species
AAUUAAUAAAUAAUCAGCACUUUCAUUAAAUUUGAGAACUAAUAUUGCAAUUAGAUUUACAAGAUGUUUAGUCAAAUGCAAGGCUAUGAAAUCUAAGCCAGCACAACCAAGAAACCCAAACCCAAAACCCAGGAAAUCUAACCCCAGAGAACUAGAAAAUCCUUUUCAAUGCACCCUGUCAGCGCCACUGAUUCUUCGAUCUGCCAAAGCUGGAAGAGAUGACUGGAAAAGACAAAAGCCAGAAACUCCACAGCAAACAAGAAACAUGCCCGCUCGCUAGAAACCACCGCCUUUAAACAUCAACCACAUUCAUAUGCUAAAUCUCAGAAGCCAUACCAACAUCAGUCACCAGCAACCAUCAGAGGGGGAGUGGGCAGAGCUCAUGGCCUCUAAAUCUCCUAUUCCUAUAGCCUAUGGGGAGGGGCAAUUACUAUCGAAAUGAGUCUUAACUCAAAAUCCCCUAGACUUUAUCAUCAAAGCGGACCCUCUAGCGAAAGUUAAG